UUUACAUUAAAUAGUUUUUGAAAUUAGCUGCAAUGAUAGGAAAGUUAUUUUUAAAAAGGUGCAGGACAGGAGCAGUGUACAAUAGUUGUCGAAUAUAUCAUUGUAAUGGAUGUGUUGGAUUUGAAUUAUUCAAAGAUAGAUCAUUGCAUAGAAAAAAUUAUUCUGUGAGGAGACAGUGUGUCAUUCAUACUUGUGUAAAUAAUGAAAUUUCUUAACUAAAAAAAAAAGGCUUGGCAAGUCAGGGAUCGGCAUUUAAACUUUCUUGGUUCUUAAUUUUUAGAAAUUUAUUAACUGAUAUCACACCCAAGCAGUAUAACAAUUUAAAUCACGAAAAAUGUCUGUGUGAACAGCCCCAUAAAAAAAUCUUUUAAUUUUCAUUUAGUGAGAUAGAUCUCCGAAACCAGAUACAGGAUUUCAUUGUUUGGGGUCUUGUUAGAUUCAAAUUGGUUAGGAGAAGUGCAGUGAAGAUUUUCAUAACUUUAUCUUUAAUAUUUAAUUCACUACAGAACAUUAAAAAAAUUAAAACAAAUUUUACUGGAAUUUUCGAUGUUUUUCAGCUUUACAGCUUUGUAGUGAGCUAACGAUUGGAGAUAAAGUUCUGAAAAUCUUCAUUGCACUUCUCCUAGCUAAUGUGAAUCUAACAAGACCCAAAACAACAAAAUCCGUGUUCCAGUUUCGGAAAAUUACCUCGCUAAAUGAAAAUCUAGCCAAAAAUAACACUUUUUUUAUCUGUGAAAAAAUACAUAAAUUUAAAAAAAAAACUUUAAUUCCAUAUUUAAUAUCUACUUUAUAAUCCCUUUUUAAUGUUAUCAGCCAACUUUCUAGCUAUCAUAGUUUAGGAGAAAAGUUAAAUAAUAGACAUUUUUGGACUGUUCACGCCGGCGUUUUUAUGGAUUCAAGUGGUUAUACCACUUGGCUGUGAUAUCGAAUCUCUCUCAUUAAUAUUUUAUAUUAAAGCUAGCUAAAUUACCCACACACUCAUCAUUGCUGAGUUACAUUUUUAUUAUUUUCCUAUUUAACACAAAUCCUUGAAGUUUUCAAAAUUCAGACUUUUUUCAUUUCAAUUACCAUAAUUACUUGAUUAACAAUCAUGAAAGUAAAAAAAUUUAAAAUAUCUCAUGAUUGUAAAUAGAAAUAUUUUCCGUUAAGGAUUUAGAAAAACUUGUAGGGAAUCUUCCAUUAAAAUGUUAAAUGUUAGGUAUACCUAAAAGAAUAAACUUAAACAACUUAAAAAAUUAGACUUGUGAGACGGAUACAACAAAUUCUCUAAAAAAUGGCUGUGUAGCGUCCUCGUGUCCUCUUAAAGAAAAUUCCAUUGCAAUAAGUUGUAAUAUAUAUAAAAUGUCAAACAUUAAAUAUUUAAGUAUGCAAUUUACUCAAUUUUUGUGGGUUAAUAAAUAAUAUUAAAUUGAACAAACUUUAUUAAAUAAGACUAUUGUAGGUACAUAUUAUACCUAUAUAUAUCAGUAUGACAGUGGUUUUUAUCCUUUUUUUUAUGACGAAACACUUAAUAUUUUAUAAGAUAUUCACGGAACACAGCACACUAUAAAAUAGAAUUUAUAUCCGUAAAAUUGUAUAGCAUAUUAAACAAUGCAUGUAUAGCAUAAAAUAGUUUACAUAAAAAUUACAAAUUAGCCAGUAAAAACUAAUAAAAUCAAUAAAAAAAAAUUUCACAAUUUUAUAAUAUUUUUCCGCCGAUUUUAAAAUGUUGGCGGAACAUUUAUUCUAAGUCCACGGAACACAGGUUAAGAUCCACUGCUAUACGACUAUGAAUUUUUAUUGGUUAAACUAUUAUUCAUAAACCGCUAUUAUAAUAGCAUUUCAUUUUAGUAAUGUCAAUAUUAAAUUUAUAAACAUGUAUUUUCAAGAAAAAAUAAUUAUUAGUGAUGAUGAUGGUGAAAUAAGAAAAAUAAAGAAACGCAAGUAUACUAUUAACUAGUGAUGCACAAUGAUGUCGUAUUUCGAUAUCGAUAUCGAUAUCAGACCAAUUUUACCGAUAUCGAUAUGACAAAAAUAAUAUUCGAUAUCGAAAUACGACAUCGCAGGUAAAUAUCCAACAUUUUAUCGAUAUCGAAAAUUGAUAUCAAUUCGUUGCAAUUUGAAAUUUCUAUUUUCUAUUUAUAUAAGUUUUGACAGUAAAUCAAUGUCUAAGAACGAUUAAACACCAACGAUAAGCAAUACGAUAAAGCUCUUACAAUAGACGUAUAUAGCUGUGACUGUUGGAUUUUUACAAUUAGUCUCGUUUUUUCCGUCGUCUACGUUGAGUUAAAUAAGUAAUAAGUUUAAUUAAUAAUAAUUUAUUUGUCAAUAGUUAUAAUUAAUAAGUUAAAUAUUUAAAUAAAAAUUAUUAGUUCUAUUAAGAUAGUACCAUUACCUGGAGGUCGUAGUGACAUAUGGAAACAUUUUGGCUUUCAAAUAGAUAAUAAUGGUACAAUAUUAAAUAAAAAAGAAGUUCACUGUCGCGAGUGCAAGUCUAUUAUUGCGUACAGUGGUAAUACUAGUAAUUUAAAAUUACAUUUACAACAAUACAGCGCGUCAAAAACAUCUAGUGCAUCGAGUGAUAUUCAAAAUUAUUUUAAAGUAAGAACAUCAAAAUUAUCUAUAUAUCGUAGUAAAGAGCUCACUAAAAGUUUAAUGACAUUUGUCAUUAAAGAUUUAAAACCGUAUCGUAGAAGUUGAAGGAUUUCGUGAAUUUAUGCAUAUAGCUGUGCGAGAAUAUAUUGUCCCGUGUAGAAUGACUAUAACAAGACAAAUUGACCAAAUGGCAAUAGUUGAAAGAGAGAAUUUAAAAAAGGUUUUGAAAGAUAUACCUAAUGUGUGUUUAACUGUUGACUUUUGGACUUCUGUGGCAAAUAAUAGUUAUUUGGGUGUAACAUGCCAUUUUUUGGAUAAUUGGAAAUUAUCAAAAAAAUACGAUCUCUUAUAGCUGACAGUGAUGAAGAAGACGAAGACGAAGGAAAUGAAUUACAUAAAUAUAAAAGUAUGACAGAUAAAAUAAGCCUUAACCAAGAUCCAUUAUUAUGGUGGAAAUACAACGAGAAAAAAUAUCCUGUAGUUUCACAGAUGGCAAAAAAAUAUUUAAGUGUAAUAGCAACAAGUGUUCCUUGCGAACGGUUGUUUAGUGAAGCUGGUCAAGUCAUUACCAAAAGAAGAAAUCGGUUAUCACCAGACAGAGUCAAUCAAUUACUUUUUAUUUAAAAGAAAAAAAAAUGUGGAUAAGUGGAUGUCGCUCUGCUGUACAAUAGGUUACAAGUGGGUCACUGUAAUGGAUGGUGUUAAAUUUGAAUUCAAUGAUAUAAUAUCAUUGUAUAAGAAAAACGAUUCUGAGCGAAAACGGUCAGUCAGCCUAUGAUAUUACCAAGUAUAUUUGAUGAUAUUAUUGUGAAUAAAGUAAUUUAUAUAUAACCUAUUUACGUGGAGCCUUGUUUUAAAUUUUCAAUCCUUAGCCAUAAAAGUUAAACAUUUUAUACAUUUUUAACUACAAAAUGAUUAAUAAAUGUUGUCAAAAUUUGAACUUUGUGCCUAUGUAUUUUUAAUACUUUUCAACUGCUAUUAGAACGAUAUAUCAGGAGCCUUAUAUUAAAUUUUCACGCUUUUUUACCCAACAAAAAAAUUUUUAUUGAUAUUUAUAGAAAAAAAAAACUAAAAAAAUUGAAAACUGACAAUGUCUGUAAACCGCUCAAAAAGAGUCAAAAUAUUUUGUAAAUUUUAUGGUGUAUAGAAAAUGCUAAUAUAAACAUUCAGUGAAAUUUUCAAGUAUCUACAGUCAUUUGUUUUUUGAUUACAAUAAAAUAAGAAAAUUGUUACAUGAGAAAUCGAGUGAAUAUCAAAUGUUGUAAAAAUAUAAAUUUCAGACGCUCAUAAAAAUUUAAUUUAAGUUUCUUGUAGACAUUUUUUUUUGAUAAAGGUAGACAAACUUAUGAUUAAUCUUAUAUUACAUUUUAAAAUCUUAGAUUUUAAAAGAAAAUUUUUUAUGAAUUCUCAACUCAAAAUAAUUUGCUAAUUUUCGUGAUUUUUCAGUAUUUUGUCAAAAUUUGAACUUAAAAUGCUUAUAAAUAAAAACUGUGACAAAGGAUUUUUAAUUUUUUUCAUCUGCCUUUGAAACAAUAACUUAGGAGCCUUCUAUUAAAUUUUCAAGCUUUUUUACUCAACAGAUAACAUUUUAUUGAUAUUCAUAGAAAAAAAAAAUAAAAUAAUUGAAAACUGACAAUGUUCGUAAACAGCUCAAAAAGAGUCAAAAUAUUUAUGGUGUAUAGAAAAUGCUAAUAUAAACAUUCAGUCAAAAUUUCAUGAUUCUACGGUCAUUUGUUUUAGAGUUACACCAAAAACCAAAAUCGAUUUUCUCGAAAACAGAUUUUGCGUAAAAAUUCCCGUUUUUCCUUAAUUUUUCUUUUGUUUUUCACGUUGCUUUUGAAAACUACUGGGAAAUUAUUACUUUUGACCCCCCAAAGUACCAACUAGAUUCACUUUCCUAUCAGAAAAGUUACUGUUGAAGAAAAUCCAAGCACUUUUACUGUCCUAAAAGGUGAUGACAGACUCAAAAAUUAAAAAUUAAAAAAAAAAAAAAAAAAUACACAUCUUUGUAAAAUCAAUACAUUCAUCGCUUCGCUCAGAAUCUAAUAUAUCAGAAAACGUAAUGGUAUGAAAACUAUUAAUGAAUAAUAAUAUUUUUUAGCUAAAUACUUAAUAAUUUUAAAUGUAUGCAUAUUUUCAGAAAGCGAUUUUACACCACUCCGAGAGUAUGAUGUAUAUGGAGAAAAAAUAUAUUUAUCGAAAAUUGACUAUGGCAA